rnacentral:lncRNA from 1 species
UGGGAAUUCAAUGUAAUGGUUUUUUGUCAUCUCCCAGAGUUCUUUUUCUGGGCAUAGCUGGUUCAGUUCAUUACUGCUCCAUUGGAAAUGAUUUGGUUGAUCUCGUUGCUGAGGAUGGCCUGGUCCAUCAGAACUGGUCAUCAUAUAGUAUUGUUGUUGAAGUAUAUAAUGAUCUGGUCCUGCUCAUUUCACUCAGUAUCAGUUCAUGUAAGUCGAUUGAGAGCUUUCUUGACUUCUAAUUAUGACUCUCAAUCACAAUGCCUUUCAAAAAAGAUUAGAACUAGAAAGUUACAGAGAAGCAAAUUUUGAUUCCCUAAAAAUGAGUUACCUAAAAGAAUGAGCUACCUUGACAUAUCACUGGUAGUCUUGAUGCAUUAAGAAGCUGGAUCAUUUUUCUGGGUAAGUUGUAGGGAAAUUCCUUUUCAAAUACAAUCUCUAGUAGUUUCUGUGGUCCCUAUUAACUCGAGAUUCUGUGAUUCUAUUUCUCAGAAGAGGAAAGAAUGGAAAUAAAACAGGAGUAAUGGAGGUGGAAUUGAGGAAUGUAAUGGAAUAGAGAAAUGGUAAUACCUUAUAGAAUUUUUUAAAAAUCACUUUUACAAACCAUUGAAGUCCCAACUCUCAAUUUCUGGGAUUAUGUGAUUUUUUUUUUUAAUAGCCUUUUAUUUACAGGAUAUAUACAUGGGUAACUUUACAGCAUUAACAAUUGCCAAACCUCUUGUUCCAAUUUUUUACCUCUUAGCCCCCCACCCCCUCCCCUAGAUGGCAGGAUGACCAGUAGAUGUUAAAUAUAUUAAAAUAUAACUUAGAUACACAAUAAGUAUACAUGACCAAAACAUUAUUUUGCUGUACAAAAAGAAUCAGACUCUGAAUUAUUGUACAAUUAGCUUGUGAAGGAAAUCAAAAAUGCAGGUGUGCAUAAAUAUAGGGAUUGGGAAUUCAAUGUAAUGGUUUUUAGUCAUCUCCCAGAGUUCUUUUUCUGGGCAUAGCUAGUUCAGUUCAUUACUGCUCCAUUAGAAAUGAUUUGGUUGAUCUCGUUGCUGAGGAUGGCCUGGUCCAUCAGAACUGGUCAUCAUAUAGUAUUGUUGUUGAAGUAUAUAAUGAUCUCCUGCUCCUGCUCAUUUCACUCAGCAUCAGUUCGUGUAAGUCUCUCCAGGCCUUUCUGAAAUCAUCCUGUUGGUC